rnacentral:rRNA from 1 species
GACGAACGCUGGCGGCGUGCUUAACACAUGCAAGUCGUGCGGUAAGGCCCUUUCGGGGGUACACGAGCGGCGAACGGGUGAGUAACACGUGAGCAACCUGCCCUUCACUUUGGGAUAACUGCCGGAAACGGUGGCUAAUACCGGAUAUGACUUCCUCACGCAUGUGGGGUGGUGGAAAGCCUUCGGGUGGUGGGGGAUGGGCUCGCGGUCUAUCAGCUUGUUGGUGGGGUGAUGGCCUACCAAGGCUUCGACGGGUAGCCGGCCUGAGAGGGUGACCGGCCACACUGGGACUGAGACACGGCCCAGACUCCUACGGGGGGCAGCAGUGGGGAAUAUUGGACGAUGGGCGGAAGCCUGAUCCAGCAACGCUGCGUGAGGGAUGACGGCCUUCGGGUUGUAAACCUCUUUCGCCUGCGACGAAGCGAGAGUGACGGUAGCAGGUAAAGAAGCACCGGCCAACUACGUGC